AAGUCUGUCAGUGUCCACACAGGGUGUUACCAACACCAUUACCUUCCAAAACUUCCUUAUUCUCAGAGGAUACACAUUUGUGAUCCAUACUAAUGGAGUGCUUUGCCAAGGACCUGGUGGCAUGAGGAGCUAGAACAAAACUGAGUCAGACAUGGCCCUUACUCAAACCUGGCAUAUAAUCCUACUAUUCUCCCUUUGUCUGAGAUUGCUUACACAUCAAAAAAGCAGCAGUUGCUAACAUGUCAUACUGUCCUUGUGGGUAGCCAGGAAACCCACCUCCCCUUCCUAGAGUUACCUGCUGCUUUGCAGAGCCAUACCCUGUUUUAUUAGUGAGAUAGCAAUGAGGAGGUGAAGCAACCAGAAUGUGACCAGAACCAUAUGUAGAAAAUUCCCAGGGGGAAGGAUGCUAACUUGUGCCUCAACAAGCCCAUGACUCAAGCCAAGGCCAGAAGAAGGGGGAGGUGCCUGGCAAGAUGUGUAGCUAGGGUGGGGAGGGCCUGAUCACGACCAGAUCAUGCCAUGUAAUCAUAACAGGGACCUGCCAGGUGAUUGUUUACCAAUCUGAAUAGUGUGUUUGCAUUCAGCCUUUGCAUAGAACCACUUGAACAUGCUGCCAUGGCAGCUAAUCCAGGCUGCUACAGGAAGGGGGGAGGAGGGUUGUGUGUGCAAGUCAUCUGCAGAUGCCUAGGAAAGUCGAUGAUUCUUGGGAAAGAAAUGCCUUCUAGCACCGUAGUCAGUCACAGCAGGAAGCUGGCCGUGGCACAGCUUGCUACCAGGUAGACUUGCCGGCCAACCUGCUGUACCUAUCACUGCUUCUCCCCAGCACAGAGAAUGGCUUCUUCCAUGAGUAGUCCAAAAGUCCCCUUUGUCCAGGAGAAAUGGGGAGCAGAUGGAUAGGGAAGGGGUGAGGUUUUUUGAAAGGCUCCCUUUCUCCUCAAGGGUGGUAUGUCCUACCUUUGCCUUUGUCUGGCUAGAACUUGCCCAUCAUUAUCAAAUUACUCAAAUCUAAGCAGAGAGUCACAAAACCUUGCUCCCCACUCCCAAAACGCUAAACGUACUCACCACAACUCAGCUCCUUUUCAGAUGUUUAGCUGGUCCAAAUGCCAUGGUUUGGGCUCCUUAUGAAGGUGAGAGGAGGAGAAAGCAGCUACAGCUGAGGAAGUUGCAUUCUUUCAGCCUCAAGGAAGGAUCUACAGAAAUAGAUAUGUCUCUCCAUGACUCUGUGGAGACUUUAUGGACUCCAUGAGUCUAUUUUGGCAUCCAGCACAGCCAAGUCCUCAUCAUCACUACACUGCCUGCAUUUGUAACGAAGAAAAGCUACACAACAUCAUCUUGCUUCCCAGAUGUAAUGCCAUCCCCUGUAGUGACCUCCUCUGUGUCUGAUAAGUUGGUUUCACUAUAUAAAUACCUCCAUAAUUACAUAUGGAACUGUUAGUAACUACAAUGUCAUUUUUCCACAAUGCCAUGCUAUGGGUGUCUCUGAGUGUCAAAGCUUCUAACCACAUAGGCUGCCAGGCUGCUGAAGCCAUCCCUUAGGAUGGAUCCCUUAGGGAAAUUAUUACUAGCUGAGAAAUUAUAAUGUUUAUGUUUUAAACAAUAAGAAACCUUACUCUAAGUUUAUUCAUAAAAAUUAUACCUCUAGAAUUUUAAUAUGUUUGUACCACUUAUUUCUGGAAAGGAUAGUGAGUUUCACCUGCCACCUGAAUCACAAAAUAUUUCCAUGACAUCCAGAUGAGAUCAUCGUAUUUCUGGUACUAUUACUUUUCCUAUAGAGUUUAACUGAUAAACUACUGCUGCAAGCUACAAGAACAUGAGAGACACUAACAUUGUUCUGUGCUUCUUUUACACUUCCUGUAUUUGUUUUUAACUUUAUUUCUCCUUUUGCCAUUAAGGC